UCCUGUCUAGCAUAAUGGUAGUGCCGCGAACUCAUAAUUCGUACAGUCUGGGUUCGACUCCCGGGGCAGGAACCA
rnacentral:tRNA from 1 species